rnacentral:misc_RNA from 1 species
CGUAGGUGAACCUGCGGAAGGAUCAUUACUGAGUGAGGGCCCCUCGGGGUCCAACCUCCCACCCGUGUUUAACGAACCUUGUUGCUUCGGCGGGCCCGCCUCACGGCCGCCGGGGGGCAUUUGCCCCCGGGCCCGCGCCCGCCGAAGCCACCUGUGAACGCUGUCUGAAGUAUGCAGUCUGAGACAAUUAUUAAAUUAAUUAAAACUUUCAACAACGGAUCUCUUGGUUCCGGCACCGAUGAAGAACGCAGC